UAGUGAAGUUAAGGAUGUCAGGAAACUCUAAAGCCAGGUUGGUACACUAUUAAAAGCCAAGGGGCCUGACAUCACACAUGAUGAUGAUAAUGUGAAGAGAUGAGUCUGAGACUAUAAAGAAAGACCAGGAGUGAGCUAACUUGAAUGAUACCAAGGAAGAUGAUAUAAUCUGAAGAAACAAGGCGAAAAACACUUAAAAGCAAAAUGAUCUGAAAAGUGCUCACUGCUGGGAGGAGAAGCUGCCCUGGAUUUGGCAAUUUGUCACCCUGACAUUUACUGCCUGAUGAACAGCCACUCGCUAAAUUUUGCAGAGAGCUAGACUGAAUGAGACAGACCUCUCUGGCUAUUAGAAGGAGAGCUCAUAAACACUGACAUUCAUAGGGAUUGGAUUUUUUUAAUAAUAAAAGUAAGAUCCUGAUUAA